AUUGAACGCUGGCGGCAGGCUUAACACAUGCAAGUCGAGCGGGGUGAUGGUGCUUGCACUAUCACUUAGCGGCGGACGGGUGAGUAAUGCUUAGGAAUCUGCCUAUUAGUGGGGGACAACAUCUCGAAAGGGAUGCUAAUACCGCAUACGUCCUACGGGAGAAAGCAGGGGAUCACUUGUGACCUUGCGCUAAUGGAUGAGCCUAAGUCGGAUUAGCUAGUUGGUGGGGUAAAGGCCUACCAAGGCGACGAUCUGUAGCGGGUCUGAGAGGAUGAUCCGCCACACUGGGACUGGAACACGGCGCAGACUCCUACGGGAGGCGGCAGUGGGGAAUAUUGGACAAUGGGGGGAACCCUGAUCCAGCCAUGCCGCGUGUGUGAAGAAGGCCUUAUGGUUGUAAAGCACUUUAAGCGAGGAGGAGGCUUACCUAGUUAAUACCUGGGAUAAGUGGACGUUACUCGCAGAAUAAGCACCGGCUAACUCUGUGCCAGCCGCCGCCGUAA
rnacentral:rRNA from 1 species